rnacentral:rRNA from 1 species
GACGAACGCUGGCGGCGUGCUUAACACACGCAAGUCGAACGCUGAAGCCCUUUCGGGGGUGGAUGAGUGGCGAACGGGUGAGUAACACGUGGGUAAUCUGCCCUGCACUCUGGGAUAAGCCUUGGAAACGGGGUCUAAUACCGGAUAGGACACAUCGCCGCAUGGUGUGUGGGGGGAAAGUUCCGGCGGUGCAGGUUGAGCCCGCGGCCUCUCAGCUUGUUGGUGGGGUGAUGGCCUACCAAGGCGACGACGGGUAGCCGGCCUGAGAGGGUGACCGGCCACACUGGGACUGAGACACGGCCCAGACUCCUACGGGAGGCAGCAGUGGGGAAUCUUGCGCAAUGGGCGAAAGCCUGACGCAGCAACGCCGCGUGGGGGAUGACGGCCUUCGGGUUGUAAACCUCUUUCGACCGGGACGAAGGGUGACUGACGGUACCGGUAGAAGAAGCACCGGCUAACUACGUGCCAGCCGCCGCCGUAA